rnacentral:lncRNA from 1 species
CGUGCUCUAUCCAACCCCCAACGCUCUGUUAGGAUCAAAGGCUGCCUCAACAUCGUAGGAAUUUUUCUAGCAGCCGCCAGCCGCCUUGACACGAUCCUACCAGGAAGACAACCCAGGAAUUUCCCAUCGAGAUCUACCCUAGGUACGUGUUUGGCGAUUUCUAUCCGGGCUCUUGAGCGGCGCCAUCAUCAUGGCUAGCUAAGGAUUGAUUUUAUUCUGUUUCCUAACUAUGUGCGUUUCUAGCCGGUGUCAAAGAUCAAUCCAGUUGUUUGUUGUACAUGCAUGUCCAGUCGGACGCUAGUAAAGAUGGAUCGAAGAUCAAUCCUGAUGGAUUGAUUAGCUUUGAUGGGUUUCCACUGGCCGAUUAGCUUCAAUGGGUUUCCACUGGCCAAAAAUACUACGUGCACGCCGCUCUUAUUUGCAUGCGAGUCCAGCCAAUUGAGAUCUAUAUAUGCUUUGCCAGUUUGAUUCGGUUCUUUACAAAUGUUUUUUUUUCUUUUGAGAAAUCUCUUUAGAUAGCUGUCUCGGGCCAAAAGAACUAUGUGCAAAGUUACUAUUAUAAUUAUAGAUUAAUAAUGGAAGGUUGCCUCUACAUAUGCAGUGUAACUUACAAUUAAAGCAUCACAACCAAGAGGUUGAUGAUAUUUUGCUGCCAAAACACCAAGGGAACAAAGUCUAACUUUAGAUUGAUUUGUUGUCCCAGGCAGGCGGCUACUACCUUGAGCAAUCAGGGCGAGGCGAUACCGCGAGAAGGUAAUGUUGUGAUUUAUGAACUCUGGCAAUCACGUUAGCAAUGGUGCCAGGGCGAUGAAACUAGCUGACAAGCUAGCAUCAAGUCAGUUUCAGCACGCCCCACAAGUCGGAUCCCACCUUCAGAGCCCACCUUCGUCAUCGUCUUCCUCCAGCGAUCGGCACUUGGACAUCACCUUCCUCCAAUAGUUGCAAGUGCCCCAGUUUCCUCUGUUGACUCUCCUCGACUGUUAUCGGCUCCGUCAAGCAAUCACACCACCUCCAGUAAGUAAUAUGUGCAUCAAAUUAUCUCCAGCAUGUAUCACCUGCACCAAUUUAGAUAAUUUGCACGGUUCCUGUAUAUGGCAUUGAUGAAUUCGUUACUAAUCAUGGAUCAAUGGAUUGGGUUGCUUACCAUGAUGAAACCAAUUGAGGAAGUACAGAAGAACAGACGGACAAGCAGAGAGCAAACUUCAAACAUCUGCGAGAUGCAN